AGAGAAGAAACCUGUAGUAGAGAAGCUUAAAGGCCCUGCAGUAGCUUGUGUCCCCCUGAAAAUAGUGUUCAGUAGGAUAAAUGAAGCAUUAAAUAGCUCAGUACGACCUGCCCACCGUUCUAUUAUACCAAGCAUCGGUUGAAUGAUGCUCCAUUGACUGGAAAGGCCAUGAUAGUGGAGGACUAUGAAGAUUUGUUGUUUAGGAAUUCUGAUUUUUGCAGCCCAUUCACCGUUCUAUUAUACCAAGCAUCGGUCGAAUGAUACUCCAUUGACCGGAAAGGCCAGAGUAGUGGGACUAUAGGAUUUGUUCUGUAGGAAUUCUGAUUUUUAGCAGCCCAGUCUGGGUUCUCAUUUUGGUACAAUAACAGGGUGUGAUCACCAUUGUGGAAAAUGUGUUGCUGGGGAAACUCUGCUGAUUGGCUGCUUUGUCUGGUGUAUAUAAUGUAACCUUAGUUGAGGUGUAAAAAUGGUGGUCUGAUUAGGAUUGGUUCAAUUUUUCGACUUUGAUUUAGAGGGUUAAUAACUUUAUGCUUUUUAUAAUUAUGAUACAGAUUGCACUGGCUACUUUAGUGCAUCAUUUAAAAUCCCUUCCCGUCUAUUUAUUUUGUAUUUUGAGACGUUGCAAUUGCAUAGGAGAAAUGCGUAUGAUUUUGAGAACCAGGUUUUGUAGUUGCAAUUUCACGAUGAUAUUAGACCAUAGCUCUUUGGAUUUUUCUUCUCUUUGGCAGUAGAAACUGUAAUGGGGUCAUUUAUGAUAAAUUUGUUUUUAAGUGUUCAAAAGCACUUUUACU
rnacentral:lncRNA from 1 species